CACGUAGGGCGCGAGCGUUGUCCGGAAUUAUUGGGCGUAAAGAGCUCGUAGGCGGCCUGUCGCGUCCGCUGUGAAAGCCCGGGGCUUAACCCCGGGUCUGCAGUGGAUACGGGCAGGCUAGAGGUAGGUAGGGGAGAAUGGAAUUCCCGGUGUAGCGGUGAAAUGCGCAGAUAUCGGGAGGAACACCGGUGGCGAAGGCGGUUCUCUGGGCCUUACCUGACGCUGAGGAGCGAAAGCGUGGGGAGCGAACAGG
rnacentral:rRNA from 1 species